rnacentral:rRNA from 1 species
UACAGAGGGUGCGAGCGUUGUCCGGAAUCACUGGGCGUAAAGGGCGCGUAGGUGGCGCGACAAGUCAGUGGUGAAAGCUCGACGCUCAACGUCGAGUCGGCCACUGAGACUGUUGGGCUUGAGCACUGUAGAGGCUAAUGGAAUUCCGGGUGUAGCGGUGGAAUGCGUAGAUAUCAGGAGGAACACCGAUGGCGAAGGCAGCUCGCUGGGACGGUACUGACGCUGAGGCGCGAAAGCGUGGGGAGCGAACAGG